rnacentral:rRNA from 1 species
GGAUUAGAUACCCUGGUAGUCCACGCCGUAAACGAUGUCUACUAGUUGUUGGGGAACUUGAUUCUUUAGUAACGAAGCUAACGCGAUAAGUAGACCGCCUGGGGAGUACGGCCGCAAGGUUAAAACUCAAAUGAAUUGACGGGGGCCCGCACAAGCGGUGGAGCAUGUGGUUUAAUUCGAAGCAACGCGAAGAACCUUACCUACACUUGACAUCCAGAGAACUUUCUAGAGAUAGAUUGGUGCCUUCGGGAGCUCUGAGACAGGUGCUGCAUGGCUGUCGUCAGCUCGUGUCG